AACGAACGCUGGCGGCAUGCCUAACACAUGCAAGUCGAACGAGACCUUCGGGUCUAGUGGCGCACGGGUGCGUCACGCGUGGGAACCUGCCCUUAGGUUCGGAAUAACACUCUGAAAGGGGUGCUAACACCGGAUAACGUCUUCUGACAAAAGAUUCAUCGUCUUUGGAUGGGCCCGCGUUGGAUUAGCUAGUGGGUAGGGUAAAAGCCUACCAAGGCGACGAUCCAUAGCUGGUCUGAGAGGAUGAUCAGCCACACUGGGACUGAGACACGGCCCAGACUCCUACGGGAGGGAGCAGUGGGGAAUAUUGGACAAUGGGCGAAAGCCUGAUCCAGCAAUGCCGCGUGAGUGAUGAAGGCCUUAGGGUUGUAAAGCUCUUUUACCCGGGAUGAUAAUGACGGUACCGGGAGAAUAAGCACCGGCUAACUCCGUG
rnacentral:rRNA from 1 species